rnacentral:sRNA from 1 species
ACCGCCAUGGACGGCGGUGGGUGCAAGCAGUAGCAAGUUUUUCGUUAGAAAAACUUGUCGUUAAAAAACGUACACGGAUGUACGUUUUUUAACAGGC